CCUACGGGAGGCAGCAGUGGGGAAUCUUGCGCAAUGGGCGAAAGCCUGACGCAGCCAUGCCGCGUGAAUGAUGAAGGUCUUAGGAUUGUAAAAUUCUUUCACCGAGGACGAUAAUGACGGUACUCGGAGAAGAAGCCCCGGCUAACUUCGUGCCAGCAGCCGCGGUAAUACGAAGGGGGCUAGCGUUGCUCGGAAUUACUGGGCGUAAAGGGAGCGUAGGCGGAUAGUUUAGUCAGAGGUGAAAGCCCAGGGCUCAACCUUGGAAUUGCCUUUGAUACUGGCUAUCUUGAGUACGGAAGAGGUAUGUGGAACUCCGAGUGUAGAGGUGAAAUUCGUAGAUAUUCGGAAGAACACCAGUGGCGAAGGCGACAUACUGGUCCGUUACUGACGCUGAGGCUCGAAAGCGUGGGGAGCAAAACAGGAUUAGAUACCCUGGUAGUCCACGCUGUAAAACGAUGAGUGCUAGUUGUCGGCAUGCAUGCAUGUCGGUGGACGCAGCUAACGACAUUAAGACACCUCCGCCGUCGGGGAGGUACGGGUCGGCGAAGAAGUUAAAACUUAACAAAGGUAAAGUUAGUUACGGCGUUGAGACGUGCCGAACGGACGACCACCGAGGGGAAGGUUAGGGAG
rnacentral:rRNA from 1 species